rnacentral:lncRNA from 10 species
AGACAACGUGGGGAACGUGAUCCUGCUGAACAUGGACGGCAAAGAGCUUGUUUCAGUCCCGAUGGAGCCCGGCUCCUGACCACGGACCAGAAGAGCGAGAUCCGAGUUUACUCUGCUUCCCAGUGGGACUGCCCCCUGGGCCUGAUCCCGCACCCUCACCGUCACUUCCAGCACCUCACACCCAUCAAGUAGGGACGGGGUUUCACCAUGUUAGCCAGGAUGGUCUCGAUCUCCUGACCUCGUGAUCCGCCUGCCUCAGCCUCCCAAAGUGUUGAGAUUACAGGCAGCCUGGCAUCCUCGCUACAACCUCAUUGUUGUGGGCCGAUACCCAGAUCCUAAUUUCAAAA